CUGACAUUUCUAGGCAGGUUACUUGCCUCCCAGGAGCUUCUGUUUUCCUGUCUCUAAGAAGCAGAGGUGGGGCUGCAGCCUCUAUGAACCAUGCAACCAGGUAACACUAGACAGCAGGAUGAGCAGUACAGUGCUGGAGAGUCUCAUAUAAUGAACUGAUGUGUUCAGACCUAGGAAGGCCAAUCAUGCUCCAAAGCUAAACCAGGGAAGGGAAGGCAUCAUGACAAGAUGGAACCAACUUAAGUGAGAAUCACAGCCUCCACCACUGGAGGCAGGAAACAGCGAUGGAGGGUAGCACGGGGAGCAGAAAGGGAGCCAGAGAAGUGGGCAUGUGGGGUACCUGAGAGGGGUUUGAAGGUGGGGAAGAUAAGACAGAUAUACCCUGCUGACCGUCUCAGUCCCUGCCACUGUAUGUUUGCAACCACAGCUCUCCCAGACCACUGCCUGGUAGCACUAUGACUCAGUGUACUUGUUUGGACACACAGUCCCAACUCUGCACUAAUCUGAAAGGUUGUCCAUCGUGAAAGCCCUUCCAUCCCAUGCACAGAGCUGAGUAUCACUGAACGGGACAUGGUAGGAUCUCAGAGUGUCAAGGAGACACUGUCAUCUCAGUUUUGUUCAUGACCUCUGUCACAGGUCUUCAAAGGCAAAAGUCACCCUUUCCUUUGUUCCACAUAGGAUACCAUGAAAUCAGAUAGUCUUCCUUCAGAACUGUCCCAAUGUUGCCUACUAUAGUCCCAGCUAUUUUCCUUGCUUUGCGUCCCCAGGGGACAGAGAUCCAGUAUUUGGGACCCUUGGAUAUACCCUUGGUCUUGCCUGGUCCAGGAACUCCUGAAGACAACAAUGGAAAUCCCAAACUCUCCUGGCCAUAUUCUCUGAAAAUGAAGUGAUCUGACAGAAAGCCCCACACCCAUAGCCAGGCUGGAGAAAUUGUCUGGCCUCACAGUGGCUUCUAUUUACAGGUGAAUUGAUUUUUAGUUCUUCUCUUACCUAUCCUGAUGUUUGAUGAUCAAAGUUCAAAGCUCGGCCUUCCCUGAUAUAGGCCCAGAAGGGCAAGAAGAGCCCUGGGAGCCACCUGGACAUAGAUUAAUAUUCAUAUCACCUCCAAAGCUUUGAGAACCUUGAGGUCUUCCCUUAUGCCUCAAACCAAUCCUCUUGUUGCAUUUCCUAAACACACAGCUCAACCUGGACUAUGCUGUCCAUGGACUAGGGAGUGUACUUAGCUUCAGAGAGAAAAAGAGGGUCUCCUGGGGUGCUUUCAAUCCCCAGGUCAAUGAAGCACAAACAUGAGGGACAAACCAAUUAACUUCUGGCCUCUCACCCUCAACCCCCCCCCCAAGGUCCUCCCUGAACACAUAAGGUUUCCUUCCAUCCCUUUUCCAUUGCUCCCCCACACACACACACACAAAGAAUCUAGGCAUUCCAUCAGGACCUCUCAGCCUUCCCUCUGGCCCAAGCCUGUCCUGGCCUUUAGCUGUCUCCAGUAUUUCUCAAUAGAGCAAAUGUCAUCCAAAGCAGGAUCUAGUCACAAGUGGAGACAUGUAUGAUAUAGCUCAUGUAUUAAACCAUCCACUGAAGUCUGGUUCAGUGUGAGCCCCAUAGUUAGAUGGGAGCUCCAGUCCCUCUGCACCUUUUGUUCUAAGUCUGUAGAGCUUUCUGGUCACAUACAACAUGACCAGCUGUUUUUUUUUUUUUGUUGUUGUUUGUUUGUUUUGUUUUGUUUUUUUUGCCAUAUGCUUGUGUCUGAGCUGACCUUUGCUGGUGAGCUGUUUUCAUGGUUCACCUAGCCCUGAGUCCUCCUCUCCUGCUCCUUCCUUCUGUCCUUGUUCCUAUCAUUUCAGGACAGAAGGUCACAGGAACUGGUCUCUGUCGUAGUCACUACCACUCCAGACAGUGACAGAGCAUGCAUAUAGUCAAGGCUGAAGGUGGUCUUCUGGCCCAUUAGCUUCCCCAUUGGAAGGCUUAGUCAUUGAAAUGAUAAGGGGAAAGGGUCACCUUGGGAUGCUAACUGGCAGGCACCUCUUGCUUCUGAGAGCAGCUGAUCCCAGAAAGGAGCUGGGUUUGUUACAGUUAGUGUAUGAAGGUCCCAAAGGCCAGCAGUCCUCUUCUUAGGAGCUACCACUGUGAAAGAUGCUUCAGGGAAUUAAAACCCCAUGACAUGUUCACCACUGGCCCUAACUGGGGAGCUCCUGGGACUGCCCCCCCCACCCCAGGUCCCAUGUGGUAAGAAGGCAGAGAAUAACCCUAUGGGACAGGUUACUCCUGAUUAGAUAAGCGAAAACUCCUUCCAGGGUAAGCAUAGAGAGCACAAAAGCAAAAUAACAACGACGACAAAGGAAAACCCUCCCCCCCCUUAAUUUUACCAGGGUUUGCAAUUGAACACAUUUGCUACUCUGACUUUAAAAAAAAGAAAUGUUUUUGUUUUUGUUUUUGUUUUUUUUUUCAUCUUGAAGCAGAUGUUCUUACUGGGACUUACUUUAGAGUCAGAGAUCAUUAGGCUGCUGCUGGCCUGGUGAAAUGGCUGACAUUGGUGGCCACAGUAUUAAGCCAAAUUUACAAUCUUUAGUCGCCUCCAUCUGUAAGUGUUCUGUAUCUACCUCAUUAUGAUUCUUUUGGUUUUCUGUGCUUCCGUGUUGUGUACAAUGUCAGAGGUGAAAUGUAGAUAAAAAUAUAUAUAUAUAAAAUAUAUAUUUUUGCUUUGCAAUAAAGUUCAAAGCUAUAACACAGAAUAUUCAUGAAAUGUCAUAGCCUUUUCUUGUCCUCUUGGUUGUGAACUGUCCUUGGGAGCCCUUUUGCCUAUUCACUAGAGUCAAUAUUGUUAUGUUGGCCAUUUGAUAAGUUAUUCUAUUUAUUUUCACUGUACUUUUUUUGACACAUUGAAUAAGACACUAGGAUUCUUGAACAACUCUUGGUUUCAAAGGUGCUUUAUUUCUGUGGAUGCAAGUGACCAAAUGGAAAGUCUCUGCAGACCGAAUCUUCUAGAGAGCAGGAUUGAUCUUGACACCUUUGCUCUUUGGGUUUAGAACUAAAGGUUUGUGCAUAGGGGGGAAAAGGACAAAUUGGUUUGUCUUUGGUUUUGUUUUGUGGUUGAAACCUUUUCUGUUUAUUUGUAUCCAAUAUAAUUAUCUUUUGUAAUCUCAACUUUGCGGCAUGGAGGACAGUCUACGAUGACUGCCUGGCUGUGUGGUCUGACACAGCUACUUUCCUUGUUGACAUUGAUUGCUAUUUUCUCUAGGUUGAUAUCAUGUUGUACUACUUGGAGGUGAACUGAUGUACCCAGCCUCCACUUCUUCUCUAAACCUUCUGGAACUCUCUUCCAUACCAAUGUAUUAAGAGGAAUGGUGCUUUGGAACCAUUUGGAAUGGUGUUCACAGUGCACAAGCCGGAGGCACCUAAGAACUCAUGGUUCCCUGGAGAGUCCAGGUGGAUAAUGAGACAGGUUCGUGAGAUCCUGACUAGAAGGUGGACUGUCUUCAACUUAUCCUGUUUAUCCAUGUGUUUGGACAAAAUAACCUUCAUUUCACUAAGCACAUCCAUGUUGCAAGCCCUGUAUAAUUUGUAUGCUUCAACAAUCGUUGUUUUUCCUGUGUUUUGGGCCAAAAACUAUGUAUGUCUUUUUUCAAAGUAAUUAAAUGUUCUUGAAAUGGGAUGAAGAAAGGUUUCAAAAUUAGGGGAAAAUAUCCUUAUAAAUGAUACUUCUGCUGAACUCUAGAGCUGUCCUACUAUUCCCCAGCUCUGAGGAGCUAGGGGGAAAGAUAGUCUAAUGGGGACAAAUGGCGAUCUCCCUAUAAAUGCAUACAAAGCUACAAGGAAAUGAAAACACCUUUGAUUC
rnacentral:lncRNA from 1 species